AACUGCUGAUUUGGUUAGAAAAGGAAUAUUUUUCUCGGAAUCAAUGUUCAAUUUUGAGUGGGAUUUUUGAUCAAUGUGAAUUUGUGUCAAUGUGAUUUUCAGCCAAUUCGAAAAUGUUUAAUUUUUUGUAUGUUCUAACGUGCCUCUCCUUUUUUACGCUGAAAUAUUGAUCAUAUUUAUUUAGGAUUCCGAGACACCCGAAGUCUAGAGCUUUUUAAAAUUUUAUCAACUUUUUUUCUAAAUCUUUUUGUUUUGUUUGUUGUUUUUGUUUUUUGUUUUCGAUUCGACAACGUCUUGGAACAGCCGACAGUAUAUAGAAGACCAAUCCCAAGACUGCGGCAUGUAUGGCCGCACUCGUGCACCCAAAAUCCUAAAUACUACCAAUACCAAAGCCGACAGUAUGAGUGUAGUAGUUUAGUUUUAGUAUUUAGUGUCAUACAUGGCCGGGUCUUCAUUACUUUGAUGAGCUUGCUUGAGAUUAUGGACAAGAUUCCUAUUCACUGCCCUGAUUAACAGACAAUUUGCUCUCUUUAGAUUUUACGAAUCUUUUUUUCCCUUCACGAGUUAGUAUUUCAUAUUUGAUCAAAGAACACAUUGUGGAAUGUGCACGAAUGUCUUUGUCUCCAUUGAAACUUUGAGCACUUGAUAUUUAAUUACGUUUUUUUGCUCUUUGAUUCAGUGUUUUAACCAUGGUUUAUCAAACCUUGUAUACACCAUGGUUUUAACCAAGGGUUUUAACUGUGCUUACUAACCUGGGAACACCUUUCUUUUUGCUACGAGUUAAACCCUUUUAGUUAAAGUGAUUAGUCUUGCCAAUUGUUCAUUUUGACGAUUUUGAUAAGGAAUUGGACAAUCAAUUCUGGUCUUAUGACAGCCAUAAUUUCAUGUGUGUCUGACAUUGGCUACUAUUAGUAUUACAACAAUAUUAAUAUAUGCAAGGUACUGUUUGCAUGCAAAGAUGCUGAUCUUGAUUGACCUGUAUCGGUUCAAGCAGGAUCAUUGUCUUAAAUGAAAUCCAUUUGCAAAGUGUUUUGACACUGACAUCCACACUUUUCUGUUCAGUCAUAGAAAAGAUGCCUACCAUUUUGAUGAUGAUUGUUUUGUCAAUCCCUAGAGUUCUUAUCUAAUCAAUGGUUCUUGUGUAGGUGUGUCUGAAUUUGCGAAAAGAUUGUUUUGACAGAAACUUUUGUAGGAAUAUGGCUAUAAAAAGAUUAUGUUGGUUGAAGCUAGGGUUUGGAAGGUUUCAUAAUUACCAUUUGUGUUCUUAUUCAUGGUUUAUUUUCUCUGAUUAGAUUUACAUUGUGUACCAAAGUGGAUUCAAUGAGAUUGCUGACACCAUAAAUGGUAAUGAAUGGAAGCGUGGCUAGAACUUUCCAUGGUUGAAUCAGCCCAUCAUGAGGCAUAUUUGAACUGGGAACGCGACAUUGGACCCCCCAACAGUGGCAACGGAGGGUACCCCGACGAAAACAAACGGGCCCCUCGACACUAGCCCCCACCCCCUCGACACCAGUCCCCCCCGACAUUGGCCCCCACCGUUUUUGCAGGGGGCUACAGUCGGCGAAGAGGGCGACACCAGCCACCCCUGGCAAUAGAAGCGGGGGGGCCUUUGUCGUGUAGGCAUACGACACCAGCGUCCCCCACUUAAAAUCAUUCAAGUACGGGGGGGCCAGUGUCGUAGUAUCAUACGACACCAGCCUCCCCCCUCAAAUUAAUUCAAUCGAAGGGGCUGUCGCAGUGGCAGUCGACAACAGUCCCCUUAUGUUGAUAAUCGAUUGUUAGGCCGAUUUCGAUCGCCAGUCAACAGUCCAACAUGGUCUCCACGGUAUAUACCGACCGUUCGGUAAGAUUGCAUUCCUGCUUUCCCUCUCUGUAGUCCUAUCUACAAGUAGUGCCGCCAACGGCCGAAGGAGGAAUUAAAAGCUUCUAAACAGUUUUGACAAACGAAAUUUACUGGCGAAGAUGAAAAGGAUUUAAGAAGAGCGCUAAAGUAGCCUAAGAGGAGAAAAAAGCAAAGCAAAAGGGAGAAGAUUAGGACCUAAUGGUGGGACUGGAGCUGAAGGAUAUGGUCUUUUUAAAAAAGAUAGGUUGUUCCCACAAGCAGAUAUACCUGCUCCUUCAACAAAGUUGCCUAAUGAACCUAAGGCGAAAAAAAUAUAUAUACUGUGAAAUCACCAGAAUUCCUAACUGGUGGUUGUGCAGAAAAUUCUUGUAACCAAAAACAAGAUGCUGAAAAAACCAAGGAUGGUUAUAGCAAUCACACAAGAAGGCAAUGAGAUUCAAACACCAACAGAAGAAGUAACGAAACGGCUGGCCACUCUAAAAAUGAGGGUUGAAAGAAUUCAAGAUGAAGCAAGUAUUGAAAAUGCUUCUCUUGUAACCCAAUCACAGGCAAUGACCAGAAUUUCAUAUGAUAGAACUUGGUUGAAGAGGAGAGAAAAUGUCGAUGCUGGGUGGGUUAUCAACAGAAACACAUACCUCUCAGCUUUUAUUAAGCACAAAGCUCUUUCGGAGAGAGAGGUAUGCUGUAAUUGUCAUAUUUCAAUUCCCUAUCUUGCUGUGCGAUGCAACACUUGCCAUGCCAAUUUAUGCCCAGAAUGUGAUUGGGCAUUUCAUUUUAAAAGACCGUUCCACUAUCGAGAACUAUUCGGAGAGAGUUCGUCCAGGCCUCUUCUACCGUCUGAGUGUGUCCAUUCAAAUGGACAUGUUGUAGAAAAAGCCGUUCCAGGACCGUUACAUAUCCCUCCUGAUUGUGCUGACUGUGCUGAGAAGAGCACGGUUCAGUUAUUUUCAGGAUCUACGUGCAUCGCAAUUGUAACAAAAGAUGGACACUAAAAACUAGUCAUAUCCCGUGAAAAUUUCGAUUUAAUCGACACCUAGAUGCUGAUGCAGCGUUAUUUGAAAGAAAAAAUUGCCAAAUCAGUGUUUUUCUUUAAGAAGCUGGAAGAUGAUGAUACCAGCAGCUCCUCCAGUUCAUCAGAUGAAGAUCAAUUUCCGGAAGGCUCAUCAGCUGAAGAGGAAGAGAUUGGAAGAGAGUAAUUGAAAUGUAGAAUAAUAAAUUGAUAAUACAUUUUUAAACUCUC